rnacentral:rRNA from 1 species
UAAGAAGGGGGCUAGCAUUGUACGGAAUCACUGGGCGUAAAGCGCACGUAGGCGGAUUUGUCAGUCAGGGGUGAAAUCCCGGGGCUCAACCUCGGAACUGCCUUUGAUACAGCAAAUCUCGAAUACGGAAGAGGUGGGUGGAAUUCCUAGUGUAGAGGUGAAAUUCGUAGAUAUUAGGAAGAACACCAGUGGCUAAGGCGGCCCACUGGUCCGGUACUGACGCUGAGGUGCGAAAGCGUGGGGAGCAAACAGG